GUACUUUAUCAUUUAAAGGCUUUUUAUUAAAAACCUACAAUCUCAUUCUAUAGACAUGCAGCCGUGUUUAUAAAAAUGACAUAGACACCCAGACUGAUCUCAAGAGGUCAAUAUAUAUCAUUACAUUACAACCAACCUCUCAUUCCCAAGUGUCUACAAAAUGUGCACAGGAGGAAAAAUGAAUGAAAUAAGCAGCAAAAGACGUGCACAUGCUCAUUCAAGCCAGCGACAGCCUUUGCCACCCAUUGUCCUUCAAUAAUGAUCCUUCCGCAGGUUCACCUACGGAAA
rnacentral:misc_RNA from 1 species